rnacentral:rRNA from 1 species
CGGCCGCGUCGACAAAGAGUGCGUAAUAGCUCACUAGUCGAGUGACCCUGCGCCGAAAAUUUACCGGGGCUAAACAUAACACCGAAGCUGUGGAUAGAACUUAGGUUCUAUGGUAGGAGAGCGUUCUAAGGGCAUCGAAGCUAGACCGUGAGGACUGGUGGAGCGCUUAGAAGUGAGAAUGCCGGUAUGAGUAGCGAAAGACGGGUGAGAAUCCCGUCCACCGAAUGACUAAGGUUUCCUGGGGAAGGCUCGUCCUCCCAGGGUUAGUCGGGACCUAAGUCGAGGCCGAUAGGCGUAGACGAUGGAUAACAGGUUGAGAUUCCUGUACCCGUUUGUUUUGUUUGAGCAAUGGAGGGACACAGUAGGCUAAGGAAUACGCACUCUUUGUCGACGCGGCCG